rnacentral:rRNA from 1 species
CCCUUAGAUGUUCUGGGCUGCACGCGCGCUACACUGAAGCGUUCAACGAGUAUUCACCUUGCCCGGGAGGGUUGGGUAAUCUUUUCAAAACGCUUCGUGAUGGGGAUAGAUUAUUGCAAUUAUUAAUCUUCAACGAGGAAUUCCUAGUAAGCGCGAGUCAUCAGCUCGUGCUGAUUACGUCCCUGCCCUUUGUACACACCGCCCGUCGCUCCUACCGAUUGAGUGAUCAGGUGAAUAAUUCGGACUGCAGCAGGCCUGGUCUCCGGGUUUUGCAGCGGAAAGUUUAGUGAACCUUAUCACUUAGAGGAAGGAGAAGUCGUAACA